AUCACUCACACCUUUGGUUUACGCUUACUCUUGCAAGUUGCAAGUAAUACAAAAGGCGCAUUCAGCUUCCGUUUCCCCUCUGUUUCUCUUCACUGUCUUUGUCAAUCUCUCCGUUUCAGUUUUUUAGUGUGUGCGUGCGCGAAUGAGGAUUCUCUCAAGGAGCCAAGUUCUAAAGUUUCGCUUAGCUCUUAAAUGUGGGAAAAUAUACCCUUUGUUUUGCAAGUUUUCAUCGUCCUUUUCAAAUGGGUCUCCAUCAGAAAUGUAUGGGAAAGCUAAAGUUAAUUCAUUUAUGGACGAUGCCUCCCAUUCCCAAGACAAUGCAAUCAAUUCAGAGGUCAUGAGGAAAGCAGUGCAUGAUAUAUGUCGGGUUUUGGACACCGGCACUUGGGGACCUUCUCUUGAAGAUGCCCUCAACUCGUUUGUUGAAAUGCUUCAACCAGAAUUGGUUGUUGGAGUAAUCAGGAGGUUGACGGAUGUGAAGGUGGCAUUGCAGUAUUUCAGGUGGGUGGAGGGAAAGACUGAGCUGCCACAUUGCCCCCAAGCCUACAAUGCACUUCUUAUGCUUAUGGCUAGGACCAGAAAUCUGGACUACUUGGAACAGAUUAUUGAAGAAAUGAGCAUGGCUGGAUUUGGACCCUUCAAUAAUACUUGUAUCGAAUUGGUCGCUAGUUUGGUCAAGUCGCGGAAGCUAAGAGAAGCUUUUGGUGUUAUUGAAACAAUGAGGAAGUUCAAGAUUCGCCCUGCUUAUUCAGCUUAUACAACACUGAUUGGUGCCCUCUCUGCAGCUCACGAAGCUGAUCUCAUGCUCACUCUCUUACAUCAAAUGCAGGAAAUAGGUUACGAAGUAAGCGUACAUUUGUUUACUACGCUUAUUCGUGUGUUUGCCAGGGAGGGCCGUGUUGAUGCUGCUCUAUCCUUGCUGGAUGAGAUGAAGAGCAACUCAUUUAAUGCUGACCUUGUCCUCUAUAAUGUAUGUAUUGACUGUUUUGGAAAAGUUGGUAAGGUAGAUAUGGCAUGGAAAUUCUUUCAUGAAAUGAAAUCACAAGGGUUGGUGCCUGAUGACGUGACAUAUACUAGCAUGAUUGGGGUUCUUUGCAAAGCUGAGAGGUUGGAUGAAGCUGUAGAGUUGUUUGAAGAACUUGAUAUUAAGAGGAGUGUCCCUUGUGUUUAUGCUUAUAAUACCAUGGUAAUGGGUUAUGGUUCAGUUGGGAAAUUUGAUGAAGCUUACAGCUUACUUGAGAGGCAAAGGAGAAAGGGAUGUAUACCUAAUGUAAUUGCAUAUAAUUGCAUCCUUACUUGCCUUGGAAGGAAGGGAAAAGUAGAGGAAGCAUUGAGAAUCUUUGAGGAAAUGAAAACGGAUGCAGCACCCAAUCUUCCGACUUACAAUAUUUUAAUUGACAUGCUUUGUAAGGCAGGAAAACUUGAAGCUGCUCUGAAAGUGCAGGACUCCAUGAAAGAGGCUGGCUUAUUCCCCAAUAUUAUGACUGUAAAUAUAAUGAUUGAUCGACUAUGUAAAGCUCAAAGACUUGAUGAAGCUUGCUCCAUAUUUCUAGGAUUAGAUCAUAAAGUUUGCACCCCUGACACAGUAACAUUUUGUUCACUUAUUGAUGGCUUGGGAAGACAUGGCAGGGUGAAUGAUGCCUAUAUGCUUUAUGAAAAGAUGUUAGAUUCUGCUCAGACUCCAAAUGCAGUGGUAUAUACAUCUCUGAUCAGGAACUUCUUCAAGUGUGGUAGGAAUGAAGAUGCUCACAAAAUUUAUAAGGAGAUGAUGCAUAGGGGCUGUUCUGUUGAUCUGAUGCUCCUUAAUACUUAUAUGGAUUGCGUUUUAAAAGCUGGUGAAAUUGAGAAAGGGAGAGCUUUAUUUGAAGAAAUAAAGGCUCGGGGUUUAAUUCCUAAUGUUCAGAGCUACUCAAUUUUAAUUCAUGGUCUUGUGAAAGCAGGAUUUUCAAAAGAAACAUACAAGUUGUUUUAUGAGAUGAAGGAACAAGGACUACAUUUGGACACCCGUGCUUACAACAUUGUUAUUGAUGGAUUUUGCAAGUCUGGUAAGGUCAACAAAGCUUACCAAUUGCUGGAGGAAAUGAAGACAAAGGGUCUCCAACCUACUGUUGUAACUUAUGGCUCUGUCAUUGAUGGACUUGCUAAAAUUGACAGGCUUGAUGAAUCAUAUAUGUUAUUUGAAGAAGCAAAAUCAAAAGGUGUUGAUUUGAAUGUAGUGAUCUAUAGUAGUCUUAUUGAUGGGUUUGGGAAGGUGGGCAGGAUUGAUGAGGCAUAUUUAAUUUUGGAAGAGUUGAUGCAGAAAGGUCUGACUCCAAAUACAUACACAUGGAAUUGCUUGCUUGAUGCAUUAGUGAAAGCCGAGGAAAUCGAUGAAGCUCUUGUAUGCUUCCAGAACAUGAAAAACUUGAAAUGCUCUGCCAAUGAAGUAACUUACAGCAUUAUGAUAAAUGGUCUUUGUAAGGUUAGAAAAUUUAAUAAGGCCUUUGUUUUCUGGCAAGAAAUGCAGAAACAGGGGUUAAAGCCCAAUACUAUCACAUAUACCACCAUGAUUUCAGGACUUGCUAGGGCUGGAAAUGUUCUGGAGGCAAAAGAUCUCUUUGAGAGAUUUAAGUCAAGUGGGGGCAUACCUGAUUCAGCUUGUUUUAAUGCCAUGAUAGAAGGAUUAAGCAAUGCCAAUAAGGCAAUGGACGCAUAUAUGCUUUUUGAAGAAACUCGACUUAAAGGUUGUCGUAUAUAUAGCAAAACAUGUGUUGUUCUUUUAGAUGCGUUGCAUAAGGCUGACUGCCUUGAGCAGGCAGCGAUUGUUGGUGCCGUCUUAAGGGAAAUGGCAAAGUCUCAACAUGCUACAAGAUUGUCUUGAUAACAGGUCGUACAUAUUGUAUUGGUAUUGGAAUAGAAGUCUGGCUUAUAGACCAAAUUAGGUGAGGGUCUUCUCGGAAAUUGCUUGCCGUAAUACCCCUUCCAACUAGUCAGGUGAUUUCUGAGACAAAGCGAGAGAUUUUUAAUGUCCUUAGUUCUUUGAUAAGGACCAUAAGGAUGAUAUGGUCCUAGCCUAUAGGUUGAAGCAUGGGUAUAAAUGUUCACAACUAACGAAUACAGUUAAAUUGGCAUCAUUACCAGCACGGAUACUGCAAAUCUGUGGAUUAUGGAUUUUCAUCCUUAUUUAUUUUGAAAACGUAAUCAUGAUUUAUUUUAAAGUGUACUUUUAAUGUGUGUAUAAAUUUUGUUGCAGGGGGCAAGUUCCCAAUCGAUACCCUUGUAAUUUUUAUUUCCCAUUGUUGAAGGAUAUUUACUCAAAUUUCACUGGCAAUGGACUGUCUUCAGGUUCUUUCUAUACUGUGAGUUGAUUCAAAAUUGGAGGCUAACUUUUUACUUCUCUCUUCAUCAUUUGUCUGCUGUUCUUGAAUAAUUCAUUUUCACAAUCUUUAAAUUUUCUUUAAAGUAAUUGAAACUUCAUAAAGUGUAUAUUUAUUUAUUAUUGGAAUGCAAUGAUUUUGGCAU